rnacentral:lncRNA from 1 species
GCGUGCUAAAGAAAACAGCCUAAGAACAGUUUAAGUGUGUCGCUUUUUUAUUUGAGUUGUUGCUCUUUUUAGGAUCAUCUCUCAUUGGGAGAUCACAGCAUCAGUUCCUGAGGAUGCCGCAGCGUUCUGUGACCAGGAGUCCCAGAGAGCAUAGCUGGCCUUGCUCUCUCCCUCAUCAUUGAGACUGAUGCUAACCAGUGAAGCAAUGGACAUAACAACUGACACAACAGAAGUGCCAGAAUGCUGGGGUCAGAGACAGUGUCAGACAGGCUACAGCAACCCUGAUCCAGAGAGGUUGGACAGUGGCAGCUAGCGUAGUGGACCUGGUAUCGAACCAAAGUCAAAGUUGGACCAGACUGAGCAGAACUGAGCCCAGAACUGCAAGUUAUUUCUGACCCCAGUCCAGUCUGUGCUCGCUGAACGUGGAGUACAUGUGGCGCUCUUGCAGUUCGCUUGGUAGCUUCUUGCACCAUGUUAUGACACCAGAAAGAAAAAUAAGAAAU